GAUGAACGCUGGCGGCGUGCCUAAUACAUGCAAGUCGAACGGACAGACGAGGAGCUUGUUCCUCUGCCGUUAGCGGCGGACGGGUGAGUAACGCGUGCAUAACCUCCCUAUAAGACUGGGAUAACUUCGUGAAACCGGAGCUAAUACCCGAUCAUACAUUGUACCUCCUGGUUCAAUAGUGCAACACGGUUUUCGCGUCUCUUAUAGACGGAUCCGCGGCGCAUUAGCUAGUUGGUAAGGUAACGGCUUACCAAGGCAACGAUGCGUAGCCGACCUGAGAGGCUGAUCGGCCACACUGGAACUGAGACACGGUCCAGACUCCUACGGGAGGCAGCAGUAGGGAAUCUUCCGCAAUGGGCGAAAGCCUGACGCAGCAACGCCGCGUGGGUGACGAAGGUCUUCGGAUCGGAAAACCCUGUUAUUAGGAAAGAACAAAAGUGGAGGUAGCUACGGCUGUGUUGACGGUACCUAAUCAGAAAGCCACGGCUAACUUCGUG
rnacentral:rRNA from 1 species